rnacentral:rRNA from 1 species
GACGAACGCUGGCGGCGUGCCUAAUACAUGCCAGUCGAGCGCUGAAGGUUGGUACUUGUACCAACUGGAUGAGCAGCGAACGGGUGAGUAACGCGUGGGGAAUCUGCCUUUGAGCGGGGGACAACAUUUGGAAACGAAUGCUAAUACCGCAUAAAAACUUUAAACACAAGUUUUAAGUUUGAAAGAUGCAAUUGCAUCACUCAAAGAUGAUCCCGCGUUGUAUUAGCUAGUUGGUGAGGUAAAGGCUCACCAAGGCGAUGAUACAUAGCCGACCUGAGAGGGGGGUCGGCCACAUUGGGACUGAGACACGGCCCAAACUCCUACGGGAGGCAGCAGUAGGGAAUCUUCGGCAAUGGACGGAAGUCUGACCGAGCAACGCCGCGUGAGUGAAGAAGGGUCUCGGAUCGGAAAACUCUGUUGGUAGGGAAGAACGUUGGUGGGAGUGGAAAGCUCAUCAAGUGACGGUAACUACCCAGAAAGGGACGGCUAACUACGUG